UACGGAGGGUGCGAGCGUUGUCCGGAAUCAUUGGGAGUAAAGGGCGCGUAGGUGGCGGGCCACGCGUGCGGUGAAAGCUCGGGGCUCAACCCCGCGUCGGCCGUGCGAACUGUUUUGCUUGAGCACUGUAGAGGCAGGCGGAAUUCCGGGUGUAGCGGUGGAAUGCGUAGAGAUCCGGAAGAACACCGGUGGCGAAGGCGGCCUGCUGGGCAGUUUUGCUGACACUGAGGCGCGACAGCGUGGGGAGCAAACAGG
rnacentral:rRNA from 1 species